ensembl:snoRNA
AGGUCACUUCAAAGAGGGCUUGUGGGGCUGUGAAACCAAGAGGUAGGUCUUAACAGUAUAACCAAAGACUGAAGUUCUCUAUAGGAUGCCAUAGCACUUAAUGGUGCUAUGUUUUCCUCAGGAGAUAUGACU